rnacentral:tRNA from 1 species
GGCUGGUUAGCUCAGUCGUUUGAGUGUGGUGCUGAUAACACCAAGGUCGUGGGUUCAAUUCCUGUUCGGUCC